AGAAGGGGGAAGAAUAAAGCACAAAUUUACAAACCCUUGGCUAAAGUUUAACUUCAUAUAACUUUUGAUCCGGAGUUCCGAUCGCCGCACCGUAUGCGGCCAUGCGACCGCAAUGUCAAGCUCUACAAAGUCCAGUACUCAAUUAGGAUCAAGCUAACCUAAUAGGCUUGCCGAGUUUUGACCCAAUUUUCCGUUGGUAAGGUAGUGAAUAUGUGAUUGUGGAACACAAUUGAGGUGAUUGAAAGCUUGGAUUGAGUCUUGGUUGCUGAAUUUUGGUGGUGAAGGCUUGUGGUCUUGCGUAUUUAAGGUGUCUUUAGCAUAGAGAGAAAUCGGCCAAGGUAUGAUUUUGGUUUCCCGUAUAUAAUAUAUAAUGUCUUGUGAAAACAUAGGCUAGAUGACUAUAAGAUAGGUUGAAGCAUGUAUGUAUGUUAUGAGUUAGUAACCUUAAUAAAAAUAUUGACUGGUCUUGAAAUGCGUUGGUGAUUGGUGAUUUAAUGAUGAUAUUUUAAUGAUUGAGAAUGAGAUUAUGUUGAUUA